rnacentral:rRNA from 1 species
UUGAAGAGUUUGAUCAUGGCUCAGAUUGAACGCUGGCGGCAGGCCUAACACAUGCAAGUCGAGCGGUAGCACAGAGAGCUUGCUCUCGGGUGACGAGCGGCGGACGGGUGAGUAAUGUCUGGGAAACUGCCUGAUGGAGGGGGAUAACUACUGGAAACGGUAGCUAAUACCGCAUAACGUCGCAAGACCAAAGUGGGGGACCUUCGGGCCUCAUGCCAUCAGAUGUGCCCAGAUGGGAUUAGCUAGUAGGUGGGGUAACGGCUCACCUAGGCGACGAUCCCUAGCUGGUCUGAGAGGAUGACCAGCCACACUGGAACUGAGACACGGUCCAGACUCCUACGGGAGGCAGCAGUGGGGAAUAUUGCACAAUGGGCGCAAGCCUGAUGCAGCCAUGCCGCGUGUGUGAAGAAGGCCUUCGGGUUGUAAAGCACUUUCAGCGGGGAGGAAGGCGGUGAGGUUAAUAACCUCAUCGAUUGACGUUACCCGCAGAAGAAGCACCGGCUAACUCCGUGCCAGCAGCCGCGGUAAUACGGAGGGUGCAAGCGUUAAUCGGAAUUACUGGGCGUAAAGCGCACGCAGGCGGUCUGUCAAGUCGGAUGUGAAAUCCCCGGGCUCAACCUGGGAACUGCAUUCGAAACUGGCAGGCUAGAGUCUUGUAGAGGGGGGUAGAAUUCCAGGUGUAGCGGUGAAAUGCGUAGAGAUCUGGAGGAAUACCGGUGGCGAAGGCGGCCCCCUGGACAAAGACUGACGCUCAGGUGCGAAAGCGUGGGGAGCAAACAGGAUUAGAUACCCUGGUAGUCCACGCCGUAAACGAUGUCGAUUUGGAGGUUGUGCCCUUGAGGCGUGGCUUCCGGAGCUAACGCGUUAAAUCGACCGCCUGGGGAGUACGGCCGCAAGGUUAAAACUCAAAUGAAUUGACGGGGGCCCGCACAAGCGGUGGAGCAUGUGGUUUAAUUCGAUGCAACGCGAAGAACCUUACCUGGUCUUGACAUCCACAGAACUUUCCAGAGAUGGAUUGGUGCCUUCGGGAACUGUGAGACAGGUGCUGCAUGGCUGUCGUCAGCUCGUGUUGUGAAAUGUUGGGUUAAGUCCCGCAACGAGCGCAACCCUUAUCCUUUGUUGCCAGCGGUUCGGCCGGGAACUCAAAGGAGACUGCCAGUGAUAAACUGGAGGAAGGUGGGGAUGACGUCAAGUCAUCAUGGCCCUUACGACCAGGGCUACACACGUGCUACAAUGGCAUAUACAAAGAGAAGCGACCUCGCGAGAGCAAGCGGACCUCAUAAAGUAUGUCGUAGUCCGGAUUGGAGUCUGCAACUCGACUCCAUGAAGUCGGAAUCGCUAGUAAUCGUAGAUCAGAAUGCUACGGUGAAUACGUUCCCGGGCCUUGUACACACCGCCCGUCACACCAUGGGAGUGGGUUGCAAAAGAAGUAGGUAGCUUAACCUUCGGGAGGGCGCUUACCACUUUGUGAUUCAUGACUGGGGUGAAGUCGUAACAAGGUAACCGUAGGGGAACCUGCGGUUGGAUCACCUCCUU